AUACCACCCUUUAAUGUUUGAUGUUCUAACGUGGACCCGUAAUCCGGGUUGCGGACAGUGUCUGGUGGGUAGUUUGACUGGGGCGGUCUCCUCCUAAAGAGUAACGGAGGAGCACGAAGGUUGGCUAAUCCUGGUCGGACAUCAGGAGGUUAGUGCAAUGGCAUAAGCCAGCUUGACUGCGAGCGUGACGGCGCGAGCAGGUGCGAAAGCAGGUCAUAGUGAUCCGGUGGUUCUGAAUGGAAGGGCCAUCGCUCAACGGAUAAAAGGUACUCCGGGGAUAACAGGCUGAUACCGCCCAAGAGUUCAUAUCGACGGCGGUGUUUGGCACCUCGAUGUCGGCUCAUCACAUCCUGGGGCUGAAGUAGGUCCCAAGGGUAUGGCUGUUCGCCAUUUAAAGUGGUACGCGAGCUGGGUUUAGAACGUCGUGAGACAGUUCGGUCCCUAUCUGCCGUGGGCGCUGGAGAACUGAGGGGGGCUGCUCCUAGUACGAGAGGACCGGAGUGGACGCAUCACUGGUGUUCGGGUUGUCAUGCCAAUGGCACUGCCCGGUAGCUAAAUGCGGAAGAGAUAAGUGCUGAAAGCAUCUAAGCACGAAACUUGCCCCGAGAUGAGUUCUCCCUGAGACUUUAGGUCUCCUGAAGGAACGUUGAAGACGACGACGUUGAUAGGCCGGGUGUGUAAGCGCAGCGAUGCGUUGAGCUAACCGGUACUAAUGAACCGUGAGGCUUAACCUU
rnacentral:rRNA from 1 species